CCCGAUCCUCACCCAUUACAGGCUUUGAUAAAAUUGGGUUCAAUUUGAGUGGGAGUCUUCAAUAGCCUAUGCAGAGGUUAUCACCUUACGAAAGCGUAGCUACUAAACCCCCUCUUAACAAAGGAUAUAGCCCGGUAGAAGGCUUAUGCAUGAAUGCAAGGUGUGUCGUGUGUGUGAAGGAACAUACCACCCUUUGAUCACAUCCCUUUAUCCUAAAUUCC
rnacentral:lncRNA from 1 species